rnacentral:lncRNA from 1 species
AAUGGCAGCCGGGAGCGGCCCCCCCGUGCUGACAGCCCGGCUGUGCCACCCUGCCGACCCCCGACACCCCCGUGCUUCCCUCCCGACGGGCCCAACAACAAGGCCGGCUUUCCCCCGCACGGCCCCAGCGUCCCUCCAAAGCCCCGGGGCCACCCGGAAAGCCCCAGUACCCUCAACAGCCCCCGGCUCUCCUCCGCAGUGUGCCCACCCGGCCGUCCCAGUGUUCCCCCGCAGCCCUAAGGUGCCCAGACCGCCCUUCCCACUGCCCAAGUGACCCCCCAGAAACCCGGAGUGGCCCAGCCUGGCAGCCACCCCUGGAGCCCCGGGGCUGCAGGGACCCCACGGAGCCCCCAGGUACGCGUCAGGGCUGAGCAUGGCUCAGCCAUUGGGAGCCCAGGCAGCCGGGGACACUGGGCCUCUGCUGUGUCUCUGCUGGGACCCUGUGUCUCCCCCAGGACCCGGUGUCUGUGCUGGGGACCUGUGUCUGUGCUGGGACCCUGUGCCUCUGCUGUGUCUCCCCCAGGACCCUGUGUGUCCCCCAGGACCCUGUGUCUCCCCCAGGACCCUGUGUCUCUGCUGGAACCCUCUGUCUCCCCCAGGACCCUGUGUCUCCCCCAGGACCCUGUGUCCCUGGUGUUACCCUGUGUCCCUGGUGUUACCCUGUGUCCCUGGUGGAACCCUGUGUCCCUGGUGUUACCCUGUGUCCCUGGUGGUGCCCUGUGUCCCUGGUGUUACCCUGUGUCCCUGGUAGAACCCUGUGUCCCUGGUGGAACCCUGUGUCCCUGGUGGAACCCUGUGUCCCUGGUGGUGCCCUGUGUCCCUGGUGGAACCCUGUGUCCCUGGUGGUGCCCUGUGUCCCUGGUGGAACCCUGUGUCCCUGGUGUUACCCUGUGUCUCUCCCAGGACCCUGUGUCCCUGGUAGAACCCUGUGUCCCUGGUGGAACCCUGUGUCCCUGGUGUUACCCUGUGUCCCUGGUGUUACCCUGUGUCCCUGGUGGUGCCCUGUGUCCCUGGUGGAACCCUGUGUCCCUGGUGGAACCCUGUGUCCCUGGUGGUGCCCUGUGUCCCUGGUGGAACCCUGUGUCCCUGGUGUUACCCUGUGUCCCUGGUGUUACCCUGUGUCUCUCCCAGGACCCUGUGUCCCUGGUGUUACCCUGUGUCCCUGGUGGAACCCUGUGUCCCUGGUGUUACCCUGUGUCUCUCCCAGGACCCUGUGUCCCUGGUGUUACCCUGUGUCCCUGGUGGUGCCCUGUGUCCCUGGUGUUACCCUGUGUCCCUGGUGGUGCCCUGUGUCCCUGGUGUUACCCUGUGUCCCUGGUGGAACCCUGUGUCCCUGGUGGAACCCUGUGUCCCUGGGUGGGCACACAGGGUGCACAGCUCUCAUUUCCCUGUGACACCGCAGAUCACGGGUGGCACGUGGGGAGCUGUGGGAGCCUGUGCUGGGCACUGCAGACUCUGCUGGCUCAGAAGACCCCUCGCUCUUUAGAAGCCUGGUGUUUGGAGCACAGGAGAGUUUGCAGCUGCUGGAGAACUGGGAAAGGUCGUUCAGUUCCAAGCCCCUGCCAUGGACACCUUCCUUGGGCCAGGUUGUUCCAAGCUCCAUCCAACACGGACAGCAAGAGGAGCAGCACUACUGCGGUGUCACCGCUUUUGGGGACAGCUCAGCUGGAGCAGGGACAUCGAUGGCACUGCUCCCUUGUCUGGACUCAUUUUCCCCCUGAUUCUGCCCGUGCAAAAGAGAUCUGGGAGGACCUUGGGAAGGCGUUUUGAUCCAUCCAUCAGCUGGGAGAAGCAGGUCUGUUGUGAGCCCUUCUCAUUUAACAGCAUUUGGAAAAGCACCUGUUAUCAGAGAGGGAGUUUGGGCAGCAGCACUGGCUGCUCCUGGAGCCAAAACCAGCCAAAUGGAGCAUCCCAACUGCUCCCUGCUGGGACACAGACGUCAUUAAGCCGUGUCUCUGGUAAUUAAACAGCUGCUGCACCUCACCUAGAGUCAGAUUUGUUACUGGGGCGCAGCAGGGACGUGUUGGAGUGCGGAUCUGGCGGGACGGACACGGCUGGUGCUGGGUGUCCAAAUUCCAUGUUUAAUCUGAGUCUCACAUCCCCCAGCUGGCUGUGACCAGAGCACUGAGACCAAACACAAAACUUCUGCUCUUUUUGAUUCUUCUGCGCUUCUCACUCCUGCAUUUCUGUCUCUUCUGAGCUCAGCUCCUUUGGAAUAUUCCCUCACAUGUUUAUCUCAGUUCUCAGGGUCCAAAGCUCGUUAGGAUCUUGCUUCUCGUGUUAAUUAGGAUGUCAUCACAAAAGCUGGCAGGUCUCUCCAGACUUCCUGCACAACUUCAAUUCACCAUAACUGGGCUCCCUUUGGUUCUGAAGGCACAAAAUGGCUGUUUCAUCUUUAUAUUCAAUUUAUCCAAUUAACUAUAGACACGUGGAUUGUUUUUAUAUAUUAACAAAUUUGUUUUUUCUAUCUACUUACAUAGUUAAAACUGUGACCAACUUUCAACCAAUCACUCUUUGUGCUCCUAAAAACUGCAGAAUCAUGGAGAAGAAGGAAGAAGGAGGGCUAAAAAACACACUUUUUUCCCUCUGUCUUUACUCCAUGUAUUAAACAAUCUGAAAUCUCUAUUUUUUACUUUGGUGACAUACUAAACAUUCUACUACUUUGUACUUAAUUUUUUUCUAAAUCCUGGUUUACCCAGGGAUAUUUGGAAGCCUUUCUGUCAGUGACAAAUAGGAUUAAUAGCUUUUUGGAGAACAGGAUAAAGGGAGA